GUUUGUAUAUAAAAAUGUCGAGGAACCUUAUUCUUAGCUCGUCCCAACUGACCGACUGUCCAUGUUUCCAGUUUCCCACUCUGUAUAUACAUAUGGAUACACUUACACUCAAAACGUAUAAUCUGUGUUGUCAUCCAAUUCUGGUUUCCUUCAGCAAAAUGGAAAUCGAGCUUACUCCAAUGACCAUUGCGAUCUUUCUGGUAGUUCUAAUUGUCAUGUUGGGUAUUGCCUGGUUACUCAUGAAUCUUCGUAUUUGUCAAUCGAGGUGGAGAAGCUCGAGGGGGAGAAACAAGGAGGGGCGCCUAGGCGCUGGCCGGUGCAAAAUGGAGCAGAAACAUGGCGCCUAGGCGCCAGAAUUCAGCCUAUAAAUAUCCGGUUUUUUCCCUUCAAGUAGUGAACCCGAUUUUUGAGAGAAAAUAGAGAGAGUUUGAAUAGAAUUUAACAAGUAAGAGGUUGUUUUUUCUUGGGUAUAAAUUCAAAGCUAUUUUUCUUUCUUAGGGAUUAACUUGAGGCUUGUUUAAGUAAUCCAAAUCCAUUGUUCUUCAUUUAUAUUGAAAAUCAUUUCUUCCCCAAUUUCUUAUCUUUGAAGUGGUUUGGGAUUUUUCACAUUACAAGUUAUCUUUUUUGGGCAAUCUUGGGAGUGUUGUUUUCCCAAAAAUUUGGUAUCAGAGCUUCUUUUUAAAUCAGGGUGGUUAAGCUCCGAUUUUUGGUGGGUGGCUUGAACUUUGUUGUGCACAUAAAGUGUUUAUGAAAAUUUUCAAGUGAACUUUGUUGGUUUAUUUCCUGUAAACAAGUAGAGAAAUCAUGUCUACUAGAAGAACGGUGAAGAUUGAGAAGUAUGAGAUAGAGAAAUUCAAUGGGAAAAAUGCCUUCUCAUAUUAGAGAAUGCAAAUGAAAAUUUUGUUAAUUUCUCAAAAGUUGCACAAGGCAUUGGCGGGAAAGGAAAAGAAGCACAUAGAUAUGUCUGACGAGGAUUGGAAAGAGCUAGAUCUUGAGGCACGAGCGUCUAUCAUUCUAUGCCUUGAAAGAGAUGUUGCUUUCUUGGUUGAUGGUGAGGAAACGGCGGCGGAGGUGUGGACAAAUUUGGAGGCGAACUUCAUGACGAAGACUCUAACAAAUCGGAUCUAUUUGAAGUCCAAAUUGUAUACUUGCAAGAUGGAUGAAGGUACACCAAUCCGGGAGUACGUCAACAAGUUUGAUAGGUGUAUAUCGGACUUGAAGGAUAUUGAUGUGAAAGUAGAUGAUGAGGAUUAAGCACUUCUACUACUUCUUUCAUUGCCAAAGUCUUACGAGAACCUAGUACAAACAUUGAUGCUUGUAGGUGAUAAACUUGUGAUGGAGGACACUAGAAUGUCACUUCUAGCGGAUGAUCUUCGAAAGAUUGCAACUAGUGACAUGUCUACCAUUGGUAACAAGGAGCAAGCUCAAGGAUUGUUUGUAAAAGGUAGAAGCAAUGUGCGACCAAAGGGUAAGGGAGAAAAAUCUAGAUCGAGUUCUAGACCUCUUGCGGAAAGGCCUUGUUUCAAAUGCGGCGAGUUUGGGCAUUUCAAGGCAAAUUGUACUAACAAAAGGAGUUGGAAGAAGAACAAUAAGAACAACAACAACGGGAAGGUGCAAGUCAAGCAAGAGGUUAGCUAUGCCUCAGAAGGAGGGGAAAGCGAUGAGUGCUACACCAUCUCUUGUGAUGAAGAAAUAUCGGGUAAGUGGAUUCUUGACUCUGGAUGCUCUUACCAUAUGUGUCCAAAUAGGAAGUGGUUUACUACCUAUAGAAGCACUGAUGGUGGAAUCGUGUUGAUGGGUAAUAAUCAUUUCUGUAAAACAGUGAGGCUCGUUUCAAUUAGAAUCAAGAUAUAUGAUGGAGUGGUUAGAACAUUAAUGGAUGUUAGACAUGUUCUUGAUUUGCGAAAGAACCUUAUCUCUGUUGGUGCUUUAGACUCCGGUGGUUGCAAGAUUGUAACAUGGAAUGUAGUAAAGAAGGAUGUUCGUGGUUCUUUGAUUGUGAUGAAGAAUAUUCGUGAAGGCAAUCUCUAUGCUCUUCAGGGUACUAAAGUUAUAGAAGAUGUAGCGGUUGGAACAAGUGGAAGUGGUGGAGACCCAUGUGAGUGCACUUGGUUAUGGCAUAGGAGGCUUGGGCAUAUGUCUGAAAAGGGGCUAAAUCUGCUAGUCAAGAAAGGUUUGCUAAAGAACUUGAAGAAACCUUGCAUGGAUUUUUGCGAGCAAUGCGUGUACGGUAAAGCACACCGAGUUCAGUUCCAGCCAAGCAAACAUAGAAGCAGAGGAACUCUAGACUAUGUACACACGGAUGUAUGGGGGCCGGCUUUAGUCACUUCCAAAGGCGGUUCCAGGUAUUUUGUCACAUUUGUUGAUGAUUAUUCUAGAUAUGCUUGGAUUUAUUUUUUGAAGCAUAAGAAUGAGGUAUUCGACACUUUCAAGAAGAGGAAAGCAAUGGUUGAAAACAGAACAGGAAAGAAAUUGAAGACACUGCGAUCUGAUAAUGGUACUGAGUAUACAGAUGGUGCUUUCAAGGAGUUCUGUGGUAAGGAAGGCAUUGCGAGACACUGGACAGUUAAGAAUGCACCGCAACAGAAUGGGGUCGCAGAAAGACUGAAUCGCACAAUUUGAGAGAAAUCGACGUUUAUGCGAUCCUAUGCUGAUUUGGGCAGAGAAUGGUGGGCAGAGUCGGUUGCAAAUACUUGCUACAUAGUGAACCGGUCUCCACAUUCAAGGUUAGAUGGAGAUGUACCUUACAGGGUAUUGACAGGAGAACAUGAGAAACUCAGAAUAUUCGGAUGCACAACCUACUAUCAUGUCAACGAGAGAAAGCUUGAUUCGAGGGCCAAGAAUGCUAUAUUCUUGGGGUAUGCGGCAGGUGUAAAAGGCUAUCGCCUAUGGUGUGUAGAGGAUUCUAAGUUCAUAAUCAGCAGAGAUGUUACUUUUGAUGAGAACUCCAUGAUAGCUUCGUUGAAAGCUACAGUGCCCGGUGGUGAUGAUGUUGAGACUACAAAGUCUCAAGUUGUUGACAUAGAACCUAAAGAUCAACCUGGUUCUAGUCGUGUCCAAGAGGAGCAUCAUGCAGACACUCAAGAUGAGAGUGAUGAUGAGCUUGAACAAGAGGCGAUUCAGCAAGAGAAUGUACAGGCACAGCAACAACAGCAGUUUGCAGAUAACUUGGCUUUCUCUAGGCCACGGCAUACUUACGAGUAAGUUCUAAAGUUGGGGUCAGACAAGCCUUUGAGGUAGUAUGGGCAGACAAAUUUGGUUGAGUAUGCAGUCUCGGUGGAGGAUGAUAAGCCUGCCACUUUCAAGGAGGCUAUUUUAAACAACAAUAGUGAGAGUUGGUUGGCAGCGAUGGAAGAAGAGAUGAAAUCACUUCACAAGAACCAAACAUGGGAGGUUGUCCCAUUGCCCAUAGGUAAGAAAGCUAUUGGUUGCAAGUGGUUGUACAAAAAGAAAGAGGACCCUACCAAGCUCGGUGGUACAAGAUUCAAAGCAAGGUUAGUGGUUAAGAGGUUUGCAUAAAGAGAGGGAGUUGACUACAAUGAGAUCUUUUUUCCGGUGGUCAAGCAUACUUCCAUUCGGGUGCUAUUGAGUAUUGUUGCUCAUCAUGAUCUUGAGCUGGAACAACUCGAUGUCAAAACUGCCUUUUUGCACGGGGACUUGGAUGAGGAAAUCUAUAUGCAUCAACCUGAGGGCUACAAGGUUGAGGAUAAUGAACGUCAGGUAUGUCGCUUGAGAAAAUCACUAUAUGGAUUGAAGCAAUCUCCUCGGCAGUGGUACAAGCGAUUUGACUCCUUCAUGCUAAAACAUGGUUUCUCCAGAAGUGAGUAUGACUGUUGUGUUUAUAUUCGAAAAUUUCGGGGAGGUAACUAUAUCUAUCUUCUUUUAUAUGUGGAUGACAUGCUUAUCGCUUCGAAAAGUAAGGUGGAGAUAGAUAGGUUGAAAUCUCAACUUGGUAAAGAGUUUGAGAUGAAAGAUAUGUGGGCUGCUAGGAAAAUACUGGGUAUGGAGAUUAGAAGAGAGAGGACGAAUCGGCGAAUGUUCUUGAGUCAGAAAGGCUACAUUGAGCGGGUUAUUGCUAGGUUCGGGUUGCAAGGUGCAAAGUCGUUGGUGACUCCAUUGACUCCACAUUUCAGGCUCUUUGAUAAACAAUCUCCUACUAUAGCGAAAGAAAAGGUACGCAUGAAUCGUGUACUUUAUGCUAGUGCAGUUGGCAGUUUGAUGUAUGCCAUGGUGUGUACAUGCCCAGAUAUUUCAUAGGUAGUUAGUGUGGUCAGUAGAUUCAUGGCGAAUCCGAGGAAGGCACACUGGGAAACUGUGAAGUGGAUCCCGAGGUACUUAAAAGGUACCGCGGAUACGGGUUUAUGUUUUGGUGGAGAUGCAUGUCAAAUAAGUGGGUUUGUGGACUCAAAUUAUGCAGGUGAUCUAGAUAGACGACGAUCUACUACUGGAUAUGUGUUUUGCAUACAUGGUUCCCCAGUUAGUUGGCGAUCGAUGUUACAGGCUACAGUGGCUCUUUCUACUACAGAGGCCGAGUAUAUGGCCAUGGCAGAGGGAGUGAAGGAAGUAUUGUGGUUGUGGGGUCUUCUAGAUGAUUUGGGGAUUGAGCAGGAUUGUGUGGACUUGUGGUGUGAUAGCCAGAGUGCGAUUCACUUGGCUAAGAAUCAGGUUCAUCAUGCUCGAACCAAGCAUAUCGACGUCAGGUAUCAUUUUGUGCGUGAUGUCAUAGAGGAAGGUGAUAUUUCUCUCUUGAAGGUACACACAAAUGAGAACUCAGCAGACAUGUUAACCAAAGUGGUAACGGUAGCAAGUUUCAACAUUGCUUGGACUUGCUUCACAUUAGUCCGUGUUGAUAUGCCCGAGUGGGCAUGGCCCUUCGGGGCGGGGUUGAAAUGAGGUGAAGAGUAUAUGAAGGUGGAGGUGAACUACGGAGGCUUGAUCUCGAGUUUUGGGUACAUAGGCAACCAUGGUUUGAAUGGUGCAGCCGAGUUUUUUGGUGCUUGCUACUUCUUCUUGUGUUCGUCCAAAAUUUGAGGUCUAUCAAAUGAUGUACGAGGCGGAGAAUUGUGAGUCGAGGUGGAGAAGCUCGAGGGGUUGAAACAAGGAGGGGCGCCUAGGCGCUAGCCGGUGCAAAAUGGAGCAGAAACAUGGCGCCUAGGCGCCCGAAUUACCCCCCGAAUUCAGCCUAUAAAUAGCCGGUUUUUUCCCUUCAAGUAGUGAACCCGAUUUUUGAGAGAAAAUAGAGAGAGCUUGGAUAGAAUUUAACAAGUAAGAGGUUGUUUUUUUUGGGUAUAAAUUCAAAGCUAUUUUUCUUUCUUGGGGAUUAACUUGAGGCUUGUUCAAGUAAUCCAAAUCCAUUGUUCUUCAUUUAUAUUGAAAAUCAUUUUUUCCCCGAUUUCUUAUCUUUGAAGUGGUUUGGGAUUUUUCAUAUUGCAAGUUAUCUUUCUUGGGCAAUCUUGGGAGUGUUGUUUUCCCAACAGUAUUGGCACCGGUGGUGGAGGGAACUUUCCGUCUGUCAAUGGCGAUCCAGAAAAUCCUACUGCUUGUUGCGGAUCAUUUCAGUUGCAUUUCCACAUAUGCUGAGUACAGUAUAUUUUACUUUUCAUUUUCCUGCCAAAUAAGCUGAAGACAGUAUUGUUAUGUUUGUCUUGUGUAAUGAAUUUUGUCUUGUCUUGUCUUGUCCCGUGUAACGUGAUAAAUUGCAAAUGUUCCUUUCCUCGCUCUUGAUUUCUCACAGCAAGGAUAACUGAUACCCAUCUGCCUCU
rnacentral:lncRNA from 1 species